rnacentral:rRNA from 1 species
ACAAGCGGUGGAGUAUGUGGUUUAAUUCGAAGCAACGCGCAGAACCUUACCAGCCCUUGACAUACCGGUCGCGGACACAGAGAUGUGUCUUUCAGUUCGGCUGGACCGGAUACAGGUGCUGCAUGGCUGUCGUCAGCUCGUGUCGUGAGAUGUUGGGUUAAGUCCCGCAACGAGCGCAACCCUCGCCCUUAGUUGCCAGCAGUUCGGCUGGGCACUCUAAAGGGACUGCCGGUGUUAAACCGGAGGAAGGUGGGGAUGACGUCAAGUCCUCAUGGCCUUUAUGACCAGGGCUACACACGUACUACAAUGGCCGAUACAAAGGGCAGCGACACUGCGAGGUGAAGCCAAUCCCGUAAAAUCGGUCUCAGUCCGGAUUGGAGUCUGCAACUCGACUCCAUGAAGUUGGAAUCGCUAGUAAUCGUGGAUCAGCAUGCCACGGUGAAUACGUUCCCGGGCCUU